CCUUCGGGGUGUAAAGCUCUUUCGUCAGGGACGAUAAUGACGGUACCUGGAGAAGCAGCUGCGGCUAACUACGUGCCAGCAGCCGCGGUAAUACGUAGGCAGCAGGCGUUGUUCGGAGUUACUGGGCGUAAAGGGUGUGUAGGCGGUUCUUUAAGUUUGGUGUGAAAUCUCCCGGCUCAACUGGGAGGGUGCGCCGAAUACUGAGGGACUAGAGUACGGGAGAGGAAAGUGGAAUUCCUGGUGUAGCGGUGAAAUGCGUAGAUAUCAGGAGGAACACCGGUGGUGUAGACGGCUUUCUGGACCGUAACUGACGCUGAGACACGAAAGCGUGGGUAGCAAACAGGAUUAGAUACCCUGGUAGUCCACGCCCUAAACGAUGCAUAUUUGGUGUGGGCAGUUCAUUCUGUCCGUGCCGGAGCUAACGCGUUAAAUAUGCCGCCUGGGGAGUACAGUCGCAAGGCUGAAACUCAAAGGAAUUGACGG
rnacentral:rRNA from 1 species